rnacentral:rRNA from 1 species
UACGUAGGGUGCAAGCGUUAAUCGGAAUUACUGGGCGUAACGCGUGCGCAGGCGGUUUUGUAAGUCUGACGUGAAAUCCCCGGGCUCAACCUGGGAAUUGCGUUGGAGACUGCAAGGCUAGAAUCUGGCAGAGGGGGGUAGAAUUCCACGUGUAGCAGUGAAAUGCGUAGAGAUGUGGAGGAACACCGAUGGCGAAGGCAGCCCCCUGGGUCAAGAUUGACGCUCAUGCACGAAAGCGUGGGGAGCAAACAGG